UAGCAAUGAGGUUGUCCUUUCAGGAAUAUUUAUUGAGAACAUUCUUUUGCUUUAUGAUCAACCAUGCUGCUUUUAUUGUGGCUUUUAUGAAGACACUGUUCUGGAAUAAAUACUGAGUAUGGAAUACAUACUACUCACAGUCAGUUUGGUACCUUGUUUGGGAGAUUCAUUUACUAUGCUAUUUAAAUGUUUACCUGCAGAUCAUGCUGCCUCACAUUCAUUCAUAGAAGUUUAAGGAAAUUUCAGGUGAACAGCCUGAGUUUAGCUGGUGAACUCAAACCUUCCAUUUCCUUAACUGCAUUGUAAUCACGUUUUUAUUUAUGAAUAGUUUCAAUACAAUUUAUAACUGCUUACUUUCUUUUAAUCUUUGGCAUUCAUUUUCUUGGGAGAUUAAUUCCAUACUUCAUGAAAUAAAAUAACUGUUGAAUUAAAAUUUAGAUGUCUUGGCCAAAUGUGGUGGCUCAUGCCUGUAAUCCCAGCACUUUCGGAGGCCAAGGUGGGUGAAUCACUUAAACUCAGGAGUUUGAGACUAGCCUGACCAACAUGGUGAAAUCCUAUCUCUAGUAAAAAUAUGUAAAUUAGCCAGGCAUGUUGUCACAUACCUGUAGUCCCAGCUACUAAGGGUGAAGAGGGGAAUUAAAUAAUAACAAUAAUAGUAAAAAUAAAACCUUAUAAUUUAUAGUUGCUAAUAAUAAAUUUUGCUGUGCUGUGUGCUGUUUAAUAUAAAACCUAACCCCCAGCUCUGCUUAAAAGUAACUAACUCCUUGUAAAACCUACCUUCUCUAUUCUACCCACAUUCUCAGCAAAGUUCCCAGGCAUCUCAAGACUCCUGUUUUUCUUGUUGACCAGCUGCAAGGUCACAGGGCAAGAUAACACCCAAAGAAUGUACAAUGCCUUUCUCAAAAUGCUAUUUUUCAAAUGUAACUUACAUCACAAGACAUGUUACAGAUUAAUUAACUAUUCUUUGUUCUGGCUUCUGUAAACCUGUUAGCUGCUUCAUCAUCCUGGGUGUAUAAAAAGGACCUCAUUUUCUUUCCCCGAAGCUCAGUCUUGGGAUGCUAAUCCGCUGAGCCAGUGGCCCACCUUAAUAAAAUCCUCCUGUUUCAUCUAUCGGUCUCUCUGGUCUUCUGGAUAUUCUGAAACAAGGAGGCUGAGGCAGGAGAACCAGUUGACCCCAGGGUGCAGAGGUUGUAGUGAGCUGGGAUUGUGCCACUGCACUUCAGUCUGGGUGACAGAGCAAGACUCUGUCUCAAAAAAAAAAGGCCGGGUGCUGUGGCUCAAGCCUGUAAUCCCAGCACUUUGCGAGGCCGAGGCAGGUGGAUCACGAGGUCAAGAGAUCGAGACCAUCCUGGUCAACAUGGUGAAACCCCGUCUCUACUAAAAAAUACAAAAAAUUAGCUGGGCAUGGUGGCGCUUGCCUGUAAUCCCAGCUACUCGGGAGGCUGAGGCAGGAGAAUUGCCUGAACCCAGGAGGCGGAGGUUGCUGUGAGCCGAGAUCGCGCCAUUGCACUCCAGCCUGGGUCACAAGAGCGAAACUCCGUCUCAAAAAAAAAACCAAAAAAACAUAGCCUAUUAUUUUAUGUAAGGCUUUUAAAGUUAACCUUAAACUAUAAAGUAUUUUGGUUUUCUCUAUCACCUUAAUAAUUAUAUUUUUAAAUAUCUGCUGAACUCUUCUGUCCUGUUCCAUGGUGUAACAUCUACCUAGCUAUUUUCCUGUAGUUGGACAUUUGGAUAGCUUUUCAUAAUCUUUAAAUAAUUGACAAUAGUUACCUUAUAAAUGUGAAACCGUACUGUGUUUUCACAUUUGCUUAAUUGUUUCUUUAGGAUGAAUUCCCAGGAAUGCUAUUCCUGACCCAAAGUAUAUAAACCAUCUCAUGGGUCUGAAGUGUUGUUUCCAUUUAUAUUUGUACUAGCAGAAUUUUUCAUUAAACAACAUGUAACUUCACUUUUAAAAAACACAAAUUAAGUUUGGGUUUGUGUGGUAUGUUUGUUAUUAUAGCACAAGCAAUAAGUAGGUUUACUCUUGUGAGAUGGGAACAAUUGGUUUAAAGAAAUCGGAGAAAACACAGCAUGUGACUAGGACUUAUGACGAC
ensembl:lncRNA